CCUACGGGCGGCAGCAGUGGGGAAUAUUGGACAAUGGGCGAAAGCCUGAUCCAGCCAUGCCGCGUGUGUGAAGAAGGCCUUCGGGUUGUAAAGCACUUUCAGUGGGGAAGAAAGCCUUGGGGCUAAUACCCUCGAGGAAGGACAUCACCCACAGAAGAAGCACCGGCUAACUCCGUGCCAGCAGCCGCGGUAAUACGGAGGGUGCGAGCGUUAAUCGGAAUUACUGGGAGUAAAGCGCGCGUAGGCGGUCUGAUAAGCCGGUUGUGAAAGCCCCGGGCUCAACCUGGGACGGCAUCCGGGACUGUCAGGCUAGAGUGCAGGAGAGGAAGGUAGAAUUCCCGGUGUAGCGGUGAAAUGCGUAGAGAUCGGGAGGAAUACCAGUGGCGAAGGCGGCCUUCUGGACUGACACUGACGCUGAGGUGCGAAAGCGUGGGUAGCAAACAGGAUUAGAUACCCCAGUAGUC
rnacentral:rRNA from 1 species